rnacentral:rRNA from 1 species
GUGACUGCGUACCUUUUGUAUAAUGGGUCAGCGACUUAUAUUCUGUAGCAAGGUUAACCGAAUAGGGGAGCCGGAGGGAAACCGAGUCUUAACCGGGCGUUAAGUUGCAGGGUAUAGACCCGAAACCCGGUGAUCUAGCCAUGGGCAGGUUGAAGGUUGGGUAACACUAACUGGAGGACCGAACCGACUAAUGUUGAAAAAUUAGCGGAUGACCUGUGGCUGGGGGUGAAAGGCCAAUCAAACCGGGAGAUAGCUGGUUCUCCCCGAAAGCUAUUUAGGUAGCGCCUCGUGAAUUCAUCUCCGGGGGUAGAGCACUGUUUCGGCUAGGGGGCCAUCCCGGCUUACCAACCCGAUGCAAACUGCGAAUACCGGAGAAUGUUAUCACGGGAGACACACGGCGGGUGCUAACGUCCGUCGUGAAGAGGGAAACAACCCAGACCGCCAGCUAAGGUCCCAAAGUCAUGGUUAAGUGGGAAACGAUGUGGGAAGGCCCAGACAGCCAGGAUGUUGGCUUAGAAGCAGCCAUCAUUUAAAGAAAGCGUAAUAGCUCACUGGUCGAGUCGGCCUGCGCGGAAGAUGUAACGGGGCUAAACCAUGCACCGAAGCUGCGGCAGCGACGCUUAUGCGUUGUUGGGUAGGGGAGCGUUCUGUAAGCCUGUGAAGGUGGCCUGUGAGGGUUGCUGGAGGUAUCAGAAGUGCGAAUGCUGNACGUAUCACCCAAGACAACUUUACGGAGUUGACGAUUGACGGAGCGAAGCGACGUCAAAGCGUUCAUUAAAGUCGAGUUGGCUUAGGGAUACGUUCGUUGGGUAGGGGAGCGUUCUGUAAGCCUGCGAAGGUGGCCUGUGAGGGUUGCUGGAGGUAUCAGAAGUGCGAAUGCUGACAUNCGCUUAUGCGUUGUUGGGUAGGGGAGCGUUCUGUAAGCCUGUGAAGGUGGCCUGUGAGGGUUGCUGGAGGUAUCAGAAGUGCGAAUGCUGACAUAAGUAACGAUAAAGCGGGUGAAAAGCCCGCUCGCCGGAAGACCAAGGGUUCCUGUCCAACGUUAAUCGGGGCAGGGUGAGUCGACCCCUAAGGCGAGGCCGAAAGGCGUAGUCGAUGGGAAACGGGUUAAUAUUCCCGUACUUGGUGUUACUGCGAAGGGGGGACGGAGAAGGCUAUGUUGGCCGGGCGACGGUUGUCCCGGUUUAAGCGUGUAGGUGUGUGUUCCAGGUAAAUCCGGUUCACUUUAACACUGAGGCGUGAUGACGAGGCACUACGGUGCUGAAGCAACAAAUGCCCUGCUUCCAGGAAAAGCCUCUAAGCAUCAGGUAACAUCAAAUCGUACCCCAAACCGACACAGGUGGUCAGGUAGAGAAUACCAAGGCGCUUGAGAGAACUCGGGUGAAGGAACUAGGCAAAAUGGUGCCGUAACUUCGGGAGAAGGCACGCUGAUAUGUAGGUGAAGCGGUUUACCCGUGGAGCUGAAAUCAGUCGAAGAUACCAGCUGGCUGCAACUGUUUAUUAAAAACACAGCACUGUGCAAACACGAAAGUGGACGUAUACGGUGUGACGCCUGCCCGGUGCCGGAAGGUUAAUUGAUGGGGUCAGCGCAAGCGAAGCUCCUGAUCGAAGCCCCGGUAAACGGCGGCCGUAACUAUAACGGUCCUAAGGUAGCGAAAUNGACGCCUGCCCGGUGCCGGAAGGUUAAUUGAUGGGGUCAGCGCAAGCGAAGCUCCUGAUCGAAGCCCCGGUAAACGGCGGCCGUAACUAUAACGGUCCUAAGGUAGCGAAAUUCCUUGUCGGGUAAGUUCCGACCUGCACGAAUGGCGUAAUGAUGGCCAGGCUGUCUCCACCCGAGACUCAGUGAAAUUGAACUCGCUGUGAAGAUGCAGUGUACCCGCGGCAAGACGGAAAGACCCCGUGAACCUUUACUAUAGCUUGACACUGAACAUUGAGCCUUGAUGUGUAGGAUAGGUGGGAGGCUUUGAAGUGUGGACGCCAGUCUGCAUGGAGCCGACCUUGAAAUACCACCCUUUAAUGUUUGAUGUUCUAACGUGGACCCGU